CCUUUUUCUGCCACGUGUACAAAACAACUUGACCGUUGACCGGUCACCUCCACCAACGAACUACUAGAAACAUUAACCAUUUUUUUCCCUUCGCAAGUCGCCGGGACUCAACUUUGUUGAUUCACUUUUAGUUGAUACUCACACAAAAUUCCAUUGUACGGACGCAUUACGGUAUCUUUUUUUCUUCUUCUCUUUGAUGUGUGACGAUGGCGGCUUCAGCAGAUAUCAACGGUGGGGAUCAUACGGUGGAACUCAUCGUACUUGGCAACUCCAAAUCGGCGGCUGAUGGUGGCUCAGCCGCGUCUGCUUUGGAGGAGAUUGCACCUCUCUUGACGCAGAGCGAGAGGCCCAAGAUCAACAUUUUCUCGGUCUCUCGUUCCCGAAGAAAACCUAGGGUAAGUCAAGUAAAGCCUUAAUUCUAUUUUUACAUUUUUUUUCUGUUACUUUAAAAUUAUCUAUUGCUGACUGCCUGAAUCUUUAGUUUGUUCUAUGAUUUAUUUUACUUGUUUAUUGGAAACAUUUUGCAUUGAAAUUUGACUGCUUGACUCGAUAAUCCAAUUAUUGUUCUAUUUUUAUUUUUUUUUUUGCUUCUUACAAUUUAUAUUGAAUAUCAAAGGACUUUGUUUGGCCACAUUUUGUUGUUGAACUUCUAAUGCCGCCUUGAGGAAAAGAAAUUUGCAAAAUCAAUAACCAAACAGAAUCCAAGAAAGUACAAUGCAAUUAGUAAAAGCAGCUUUAAUUAUUCUCUUUGCUAUUUCAUUUUCUUAGAAAAGAAUGGAUAAUGUUGCAUUCAAUGAAGUAGCUUAAUGGUUAAAAAAAACAAUUUUAUAUAGAUUUAAAUCAGAGCGAUGUCAAACGACAAUGCUCAUGAAAUUAGGGUUUGUCUGGUUGAUUUAAAUUAUUGGUUAACUAUAUUGCUUAUGCUAAAACUAAUACUAACAUUUGCUUACCAAGAAUGUAAAAAGUAAUAUUGAUUUUUUUUAUGGACUGAAUUUAGGUUAUCCCGUUUGAUCUGUUUGCAGAAGCAAGUGAUACAAGUACCAGAAACAGAUAUAUCUCUGGUUUCAUGGUUUAUUUUGUAUGAAUGGAAUGGAUCCAGAUACUCUGGUCUAGUAUGCAUGGCCCUAACAUCUAUAAUCUACUUUGUCAGGGAAGUUCUUUCUGAUACUUUAACUGGGUUAGUAGGAUUCUGCUCCUCUAUGGCUGAAGUCAGCUGACGAGGCUUGUCAUAGAUCUUGCUCCCCAUGUAAUAGUCCCUUUUCUCCUCUAAAUUAUCUUUUACUCCUAUCCAUGCAACUCUAGUUCUGGUGAAUGAAAUUUUAGGUGUAACCCUAGUUAAUCUAAAUAGAACUGUAUGGGAUAUAAUAGCUAUAAAUUCUAAACAGCAUCAAUCAUUCUUAAGCUUCAAUUACAUAAAUAAAAAUCAAAUUACAUAUUUUCUUUCUCUUUAGUUUAUUGUCCUGCAACUUCAUCAUCCUAAUAAAAUCCAUCGUAAGUUCGUAGGGAAAUUUGAUAUUCUACCGUUGUUUGCUAUAGCCUGAGUGAGUAUGGAUUUAAUUUUAGAACAAUUGAUAAUCAGGAGAGGACCCACUUGAGUAUAAUGUUACAGCAAAACACAAACUCAAUUUUAUGUGGGAUAACAUGAUUUAAUACUCUCCUUAUUUGUAGGUCUCCAUAAAACAGCUAAGAUUAAUGGACUAUCAUGUUGACUACGAAAUGUAUGUAAUAAACAACCCACAAUUUUGCACCUUGUCAACUUGUCGUGUUUCCAACAUAAAACCAGUCAGCUAUAGGCAGGCAGAUUUCAUCCUAAAUCUAAGACCACAAUGAACUCUAAACUCUUAAGUGUUAUUUGAUAAUGCUACUUAGCACUCUCCCUCAUGUGGAGGCCCUAGUAAAAUAAUUGAGACAAAUGAGGUUAUCAUUUCGACUGUGAAAAUUUGCCAACAAACACCAACGACAAUGCGGACAAUAACUUAAGCUCUAAUUCCAUUUUAAGUGUCAAAUAUACAGCUAAUUGAUGGUAGUAGGUGGAGACGUGCAACCUGAGUAUAAGUUUGCAACAAAUUCCAUUCUUGACUAAUGUGGGAUAAUACUACUAGACAUUGGAAGCAGAAUCUCUUUACAUUAAGUAUGUAAUUUUUGGUCAUCAUGUGGAGGAGUGCUUGGUCUUUAUGUGCAUGGAAAAAGAGUAGAAACUCUUUUCACACAUUCUGUUUAAUGGAUUGUAAAAGCUACAAAAUUUUGAGGAAGUGAAAGUUUCAGUUUAUAUGAUUGUUAUUGACUCAUAGGUAUAUAUGUUAUACGGUGCUUCACCUCUUGUAAUUUUAAGCAUUUAUGCUUUCUCUUUCUUUCUAGCUUUUGACAUCUCUUUUCGAUGAUUCCAAAUUAUUUUUGGCAUAAGAUAUUUUUGCACAAAGCUUCCAUUGAUUUAGUUAUCUUUUUUGUUUUAUGAUGGCAGAUCCGUCAAUUCCUUUAUUUGAGACUGCAUUUACAAGAUGCACAGCUACCUUGAUAUUAUCAUAUUUAUGGUUGAGAAGAAGUGAGCAACCAAUUUUUGGAGCAACAUUAUCCUGGAAUCUUUUAGUUUUAAUAGCCCUAGUGGGAUAUCUCUCGUUAUUGAGUUUUAUCUAUUAGUUCACUUCUUAUUCUUGCUUAUCUGCCUUUUUUAGAGUUUGCUUAAAUUGGGGACCCUUUCCCUCUUCUUCUGAAACAGAGAGAGAAUAACCCAAGAAGAAAGGAAAAUAAAAAAGCUUUCAUCAUAUUGGGCUGCUCUCUCUUUAUCUAUUUGAAAAUUUCAUACAGCAUACUCAUCUUGCUAAAGUUAUAAGCUUCCUUUGCAGUUUUGCUAGAUUAUACAGACACGGAUUUUGUUCCAAUGAUACAUAAGGCAUUGAAGAUUUUUUUUGUGUGUUUGUUGGGGAGGGAGGGGUGGUAGGUUUGUCUGCAACCGCAUCAUGUUUAUGCCUGCUUAUAUCAGUUGUUGAGAGUCCUAUCUUUGCAACUUACAAUGACCUGCAAUGCCAUAGUUUUUAUAUAAACUAAUUGAAGCAUUGCUCUACCUGCAAUUGGAAAAUUAAAAUCAUCAGGUUGGCAUAGGACAUAGAUUGUUAACAAGGUAAACAUGAACCUAUCUGUUUGCUAGGAUAGCCACCGUUGGUAUUGGUUUAAAUAAAUUUGAAUAGUUUCACCCUUUACUACAUUCUCAGUUUCCGUACUAGGUUUUGCUUCUUUUUUCAUUUGUCUAGUCGUUGUAAUGUCCCUCCAUUCUUGGACUGCUCUUGCUAUGGCCUGUAAGCUUUAUCCUCGUGAACAAAACUAAGAUAAUGCUCUAGUCAUAACUGAUUUGCUCAAUUUUUUUUUUCAGCAUUCACAGAAUACCUUUCUCUCAGGCUAAUGGAUUAAGCUUUAUCACUCCAAUAAUGGCUUCAGUCAUGGCUAGAAUUGUUUUGCAUGAGAAGUUGAAAAUUACAGAAAUCAGAGGUCUGUUAACAUUUUCUCACCUUCUACCUUGACUUAUGCUAUAAAAUUUGACUUGCCUUACAGUGGUAGGGGUUUGAUUACUUUAUUGAUUAUCAUCGCUUUCCAGCUCUUGCUUGCAAUUUCUUUGGCGUGCUUUUCAUUUUUCUUCAGAUGCUCACUACACAAGGUACAGAAGUGGCAAAUCCGUUAUUGCAAGUCUUUUUCACUCUUCCUGGCAUGGAGCAGGAGGGCUACUUAAAGUUGAGGAAGCAAGCAAUAUAAAUUUCACAGGAAGUCAGCAUUUAUAUGCGGCCUUGAUUGGUUUUUCUUCAUCAAUAACUGGUGGAGUCGGCUACUGUCUCAUAAAGGCUGCAGCAAAGGCUUCAGAUCAACCUGUGUUUUUCAUUUGGCAUUCUGGCUAGCCCUGCUGCAGGAAUAUGCACAUUUGCCUUUGAGGAGUUUGUGCUGCCACGUUUCUAUUCACUCUCUCUUAUGCUUGCACUUGGUAUUCUGUCCUUCUUAGCACAGGUAUUCACUAAUCAUAUUGAUUUUUGGGUUUGGUUAAUGUUUAUGGCCGCCUUGUCACAGUUAUGGGGUAUAGGCACCUCAAGAAUCGCUCCUUCAUUUGGUCGACUUGUUGGGUGCCUACUUAUCUUGAUCUCAGAGUCUGUACUAUGUAUUUUGGACCCGAAAAAGAAAUUGAAUGAGA